ncrna:unclassified sequences c-di-GMP-I-GGC riboswitch
GGUUCAGUGGGCGCACUCAUCGAAAGAUGAGGGCGCGAAGCCGAAUGUCCUCCGGGUUGGACAACCCAAGGACAGCUUAGGUUGCCACCC